rnacentral:rRNA from 1 species
CCUACGGGAGGCAGCAGUGAGGAAUAUUGGUCAAUGGGCGCGAGCCUGAACCAGCCAAGUAGCGUGAAGGAUGACUGCCCUACGGGUUGUAAACUUCUUUUAUACGGGAAUAACGCGCCUUACGUGUAGGUCUUUGCAUGUACCGUAUGAAUAAGGACCGGCUAAUUCCGUGCCAGCAGCCGCGGUAAUUCGGAAGGUCCGGGCGUUAUCCGGAUUUAUUGGGUUUAAAGGGAGCGUAGGCCGCAUGUCAAGCGUGCUGUGAAAUGUCCGGGCUCAACCCGGGCCUUGCAGCGCGAACUGGCGGGCUGGAGUGCGCGGAAGGCAGGCGGAAUUCGUCGUGUAGCGGUGAAAUGCUUAGAUAUGACGAAGAACCCCGAUUGCGAAGGCAGCCUGCUGCAGCGGAACUGACGCUGAUGCUCGAAAGCGCGGGUAUCGAACAGGAUUAGAUACCCUAGUAGUC